GAUUCGAUCUUGACAAUUCCAUUUCUGGCACCAGAACUCAUCACUGAAAUUCUCUUGAGGCUUCCAGUGAAAUCCCUCUUGAAAUUCAGGACAACUCAUUUAGGUGCUUGGGUUAUGAAGGAAUAUGGAGUGAAAGAAUGUUGGAUAAAGAUGUUUACCAUCAGGUAUCCAAAUGAUCCAGAAUGGUAUCCAACCUUUUUCAUGUCAAAUAAAGGUGAAAUAUUGUCGGUGUUUAGAGAAACUUCCAUGAUAUACAAUUCAAAUGAUGACUCAUUCAGAUAUUUAGAUGUUGCUAAUUGUCAUGAUGGUCGAUAUGUGCAAUUCUACCUUGAAAGCCUAGUUUUCCCUUUUUCAACCCAAGGGACGGAGGACACGGAAAAAGCUCAUAUCAGAACAAUCGAGUAACAAAGAACUUAUUGUGCAUGUGGACAACCCUGCAUUUGGUGCUUCUAUAUCUGCUGUGUUUCUCUUGUCAUCUGAGUUUUGAUGUAUCAAGGAGGCACUUUCUUAGUUAUUACUAAUGUACUAAUGAACUUUUAGAAGUGAAACUAUUUUGAACUGGAAGUUAUGUUCCAUUUGCUACUUAUAUUAAUGAUGAUCUUCCAAAA